rnacentral:lncRNA from 1 species
AUGGAUUCCACAGCUCCUAAAAAGCGUGGCUUGGGUAGGGGGCCCACUCAAAUCCCCAGGGCACCUACUAACCUAGACGACCGGGAACUUAUUCAACUUCGUCAUACCCCAUAUAACGUGUACAUAUCUACUCAUACCCACCUUUAAGAACUUAUAUCAUCCUCAUUGGCAUAAUACUUAGUGAUCGAUGACUUUGUUGUUUAUUGUAGUGAUUUUGCAGAUCAUAGAAUCGUGAAGUGCAUCUCUCAGCUGUGCCUUCAGAAUUGGCCUACCCCUGCCAUUAGGUGGGUUAGCACACCUACAGCACAUAAGGAUGCAGUAUGGGCUGAAUUUCAG